UACGGGGGGGGCAAGCGUUGUUCGGAAUUACUGGGCGUAAAGGGCUCGUAGGCGGCCAACUAAGUCAGACGUGAAAUCCCUCGGCUUAACCGGGGAACUGCGUCUGAUACUGGAUGGCUUGAGUUUGGGAGAGGGAUGCGGAAUUCCAGGUGUAGCGGUGAAAUGCGUAGAUAUCGAGAGGAACACCUGCGGCGAAGGCGGGUUGCUGGGCCGACACUGACGCUGACAGCGCGAAAGCCAGGGGAGCAAACGGG
rnacentral:rRNA from 1 species